AGGUGACGUCAAGAGUGAUGGCGUAGUAGGGGGGGCCCUCCUAUAGCCCUCAGGACGUUUUAUCUGUGGGCCCUCCGAUCGCGUCACAAGUCGGCGACUGAACCUUGGCGGUGGUGGCCGAGGCGGCGAAGGCGGCAGCGGCGGCGACAGCUCUGGGGUUUGCGUCUCGGGGUGUGUCGGCCGCCGCUGCUGCUUGGGCCUGGUAUGUACAAAUGGCUGGUUAGGAUUCUCGGCACCAUUUUCCGUUUCUGUGACCGGCCGGUGCCCCCUACCCGGGCCUUCCUGAAGAGGCGGCGCUCGAACAGCAAUUUGUUUUCUACAGUGGAUGCUGAUGAAAUACCAGCCAAAAGACCAAGAUUAGAUUACUUCAUUCACCAAGUCAAAACCAGUCUCUACAAUGCUGCCAGCUUAUUUGGAUUCCCAUUCCAGCUGACCACAAAACCCAUGGUAACUUCUGCUUGUAAUGGAACACGGAAUGUGGCGCCUUCAGGAGAGGUAUUUUCGAACUCUUCAUCUUGUGAACUGACAGGUUCUGGAUCCUGGAACAACAUGCUGAAACUGGGUAAUAAAUCUCCUAAUGGAAUAAGUGACUAUCCAAAGAUCAGAGUGACAGUAACCCGAGAUCAGCCCCGCAGAGUCCUGCCUUCCUUUGGUUUUACUUUGAACUCAGAGGGGUAUAACAGAAGACCAGGUGGCCGUCGUCAUAGCAAAGGCCCCUCAGAGAGUUCCUUCACCUGGAAGCCUCAGGAACAGGUUGUAACAGAGAUGAUUUCUGAAGAGGGUGGCAAGGGUCUGAGGCGUCCCCACUGUACUGUGGAGGAGGGUGUUCAAAAAGAGGAAAGAGAGAAAUACCGAAGGUUAUUGGAGCGACUUAAAGAAGGUAGUCAUGGAAACUCCGUUCCUCCUGUAACUCCAACUUACCACAGCUCUCAAAGAAGUCAGAUGGACACAUUAAAGACCAAAGGCUGGGGGGAAGAGCAAAGUCACGGAGUCAAAACAACUCAAUUUGUUCCAAAACAAUACAGAGUUGUUGAAACAAGGGGACCUUUAUGCUCAGUGAGAAGUGAGAAGAGGUGUUGUUCAAAGGGGAAAAUUUCUGAUACAGAGAGGACAGUUGGAAUCAGACUUGAAAAUGAAGGUAGGAGGGGACACCAGCUGGAACCUGACCUAUCCGAAGAGGUGUCAGCCCGACUCCGCCUGGGCAGUGGAAGCAAUGGCUUACUCAGGAGGAAAAUGUCAAUACUUGAGACAAAGGAAAAACAUUGCUCAGGCAAAGAGAGGGAUAAAAGGAUGGAUGAUCUUCUUGAACUUACAGAGGACAUGGAAAGGGAAAUCAGUAACGCCCUAGGUCAUGGCCCACAGGAUGAGGUCCUAAGUAGUGCUUUCAAGUUGCGAAUCACUCGAGGUGAUAUCCAGACCUUGAAGAACUAUCACUGGCUCAAUGAUGAAGUUAUUAAUUUUUACAUGAAUCUUCUGGUGGAAAGAAACAAAAAGCAAGGCUAUCCAGCACUUCACGCAUUCAGUACUUUUUUCUAUCCCAAAUUAAAGUCUGGUGGUUACCAAGCAGUGAAAAGAUGGACCAAAGGGGUUAAUCUAUUUGAACAGGAGCUUAUUCUGGUGCCUAUUCAUCGGAAGGUACAUUGGAGCCUGGUGGUGAUAGACCUAAGAAAAAGGUGUCUUAAAUAUCUGGAUUCUAUGGGACAAAAGGGCCACAGGAUCUGUGAGAUUCUCCUUCAGUAUUUACAGGAUGAAAGUAAGACCAAAAGAAAUAUUGAUCUGAAUCUUUUAGAGUGGACCCACUACAGCGUGAAGCCACAUGAGAUUCCUCAACAGUUGAAUGGGAGUGAUUGUGGAAUGUUUACUUGUAAAUAUGCAGAUUUUAUCUCUAGGGACAAACCUAUCACAUUUACUCAGCACCAGAUGCCUCUCUUCCGGAAGAAGAUGGUGUGGGAAAUCCUUCAUCAGCAGUUGCUGUGAGAUGCCCCGCCCAGUCCCUCGAGCUGCUGGUGGUUCUGUCACGGAGGACGGAUGUUUCCAUAUACCUCAUGCAUCGUGGGUUAAGAAGUCCCUGCAUCACCUCUGUUGUCUCACAGGUACUGAGCUGUAGGAUGUGCGCGCCGGCCUCUCCUGCACCCCGGGCCUGACUCGGUGUGUGGAGUCUGCCUGCAACCCCAUGUGUAAGCCUGUACCUGGUCGGAGCCUGGACUGUUCAACCCACACAAGAACAAAUGCUCAUUCAUAACUUUUUUUUUAAAGAUUUUUUUUUUUUCCCUAUGAAUGUGGGAAAUGCAGGAUUUAUUCUACGAUUUGUCUUUUGUGUGUUUGUUCACGUGUGUUCACUCGCUCACUCAUUUACAAACAUCAUGGGCAGUGGCUGCUGCUGCUCUUACAGUUAACUCUGAAUGACCUGUUCGAACUAUUUAUUUUUGAAAGGAAUGUUAAUCAAGCUCCACUCCCAGCUGAAGAUCAGGAGGGCAAUCAGUGGGGGGAGGAAGGAGGCGUUUAUUAACUUCUCUAGGCUGGAGCAGAAGCUGCCACUCGAAGCUGGAGGUCUUCUUGUGUUCGAGGCUUGACAAUGCCGGGAGAAGAGCUGUGGCGGAGGGCUCCGCUUGCCCUCCAGAGGAAUGCUGACACUACAGCACUGGUGGGGACGUGGAACCAUGGAACUGUGGCUCUCCAAGCGUCUUCAGAAGAGUGUCGUGGGCAUCCGAAAGAGACCGCUCUUUCUGGAUAUGAGAGACGACGACUUUGGAAAUGGGCAGUUUAGGACCUGGAAUGAAACCUCAGAUUCUGGCAGCUGGAACAAAGGUCAAGGAAUGAAACGGGAGCAGCAGAGCUAAGAGUGCAUGUUUGGAGGGUCCUGUGUCUUCUCGAUCAUCGUGCUUUCAGGUGAUCGCUCCAUCCCGAGACUGGUUCCCAAGCCCUGGGGCCUGUAUUUAAAGCCCUGCCUUUAAAGGUGUGCUGUUUCUCUGCUCAGCAGACAGCCAGCUCAGCCCCAGGCACAGGGUUCAGAAAUAGCCCUGCUUGCCAGGACCUCUGUGGCUCUUCUUGGACAUUCAGCCCGUGGUUGGUUUGUCCCUGAGAGGGCAGUGGGUUUAAGUCCUAAAGGGAAGGGGGGGGAGGGCGGAGCCAGAGGUACCAGGACUUGUAAUGCCCACAGGGACGGGAGUCUGUCCCUGCCCGGAGUCAUGCCAACCACAGCAGGGACAGAACAGCUGGCUGGCGUCUACAUGCAGAAACUUGAGAAGUACAUAGAGCAUCUUAGAAAUUGGAGUUAGAAGAAAACCAUUCCUAUGGGGACGGGACAUGGGUGAGAACCAAAUUUUAAGUGAUUGAGGAGGCCUCAGAGUUUGUUAGAAGGGAAUGUGGCUACUCCGCAGCCCCACCCGUUCCCCUCCAUCUGUCCUUGCCGCGCUAUGAACGGUUACCCCGAAAAGCCUGACUGGCCAGUGCUGGCAGUCCAUAGCACCUCUUUAUCCCUAAGAUUGCUUGGACUGCGAGCGUCCGUCUCUAGUAGGCCCCAUAGGUCUAUGAACGAAGGCUCAUACGUGGAACAGGCCCAUCCCUGACUGACCUUUUUACGACACAUCCAUGAGAGUGUCAAGGAUAGCACCCUGCCCUUCUCUGAUCUCCUGGAACACUUAUAAUGGGGCUUCUGGGGCGGGAUGAGCACCUCUUCCCUUGAACUGUCAGGCGUAUUAUCCCCUCCUCCUCCCCUACAUAAAAAUCAACUCUUUCCUGGGGAGGGUUAAUGUUCCCUAAAGAGCGGGGCUAGUCUUACCUACCUUGACGUGCGGUCAGCUCAUCCCUCCAGUUCCUUGGCUGGCACACUCCGCCACACUCAGGAAUCACCCAGAGGGCUUGCUGAAGCAGACUGCGGGGCCCCUCAGGGUUUCUGAUUCAAGGUGGACCCCAAGAACGUGCAUUUCCAGCAAGUUCCCAGGUGAUAUGGAUGCUGCCAGGUGGGGACCACACUUGGAGCACCACUGACCUAGUUUAGCUUCUCCCAGAAAGCUUCCUGCAGAAGCCUGCCUGCUCAGGGCGGCUCCCCAGUCCCGACCGUACGUGCGGCCCAUUCCCUCAGUCCCCCAGAGCCGGAGCUCUGCUGACGCUUUGGGAUGGGCAAUGCUUAGUAAAAUAAGAGACCAAGACACCAGGAUCUUGUUAGCUGGAUAUAUUUCAUUUUUUUUUGUUUGUUUUUGUUUUUGUCACAGAACACUGUUUGCAGUAGAGGAAACUGGCAUUGCAGUCUGGUGGUAAACGGCUUGUUCACAUAAACCAGUACAUGCUCAUCCUUUAGCGCAGAAAGCCCUAAUGGCGCGUACCCUAUUGAAAUUCAGGACAUCUCCAAUAUUUUCUCUCUCUGUUUUUCUUUGUCAUCUUUUUUUUUUUUUAAAUAAACAUUUUCAAGGUUUGUCCAAAAGAAGGCCAUACAGGUUCUCGGCUAGCGGAAGACAAUUCAGAACGGCUGUUGCACAGUUGGACUGUCACCUUCUCCAGGCUGGCAGUUGAUAUUUUUUUUCCAACUCAUUUUUAUUAAAAAAAUAAAAAAAUGCUCCAACUAUCAGUUUUACAAAAUCUCUAAGGGAAACACAAGAGCAAGGUGCUGAGGUAAAAAACACCUGAGGUAGCUUUUUUUUUGUGUGUUUUUCUCAUUUAAAAAAAUCUGUAAAUUUAACGCCCUGGGCCAACGACCUCGUGUAAAUUGCUAUUUUCCUCCACAUUUUUUUUAAAAAGAAAGAAAUCAUUUCGCUGAAUAUGGAUGGCUUAUACACCAAAAUGUAAAAAGACAAAAUACAUUCUUUCUUUGUGGAA